UCACCAGGGUCGUCGCUUCUGUGGGUCGUCUCGCCAGGGAAAGGAGGCAUCUUAUGGACGCCGGGCCAAGAUGCUUAGCUUUGGGCCGACGCUCGUAAAUGUCCAUGGAAUUGGAUGCAGAAAAUUGGAUUAGAUAAGUCCAGAUUGUCCAGGAUUUUUCAAAUUUGUCCGGUGGGAUUUGGGAAGGAAAACAUUGCCAUGGAUUUAUAAUAAGCAUCGUUUGGGAGGGAUAUUGUCAGUAUGCCGUUGCUACCAGGAAAAGUCGAAUUCAAGGGUCACGAUUUUGGCCUUUUGCCGGGUCAGCAGCGCUGCACUUGGAAUUCAUAAGGGCGAGGGGGCAUCCCAACAUGGAAACGGCAUCAAAACAUUUUAGGUUUUUAAUGUUUUAGAUGCCAAAAUCGU
rnacentral:sRNA from 1 species